AAUGAACGCUGGCGGCAGGCCUAACACAUGCAAGUCGAACGAGAACAGCGGGCCGCGUGGCGCAUGGCUGCGUAACGGGGGGGAGGCGGCCCAUAUGUUGGGAAUAACUCGCCGGAAGGGGUGCAAAUACGGGAAAGGGUGCUAGGACCAAAGAACGAUGGCAGACGAAAGGGGCGGCGCUUGAGUAGCCUGUUCGUAGGGUAAAACCAGAUGGGAUCGGCUAGUAAGUGGGGGAACGGGUGACCUAGGCGACGAACCCUAGCUGGUCUGAGAGGAUGACCAGCCACACUGGAACUGAGACACGGACCAGACUCCUACGGGAGGCAGCAGUGGGGAAUAUUGCACAAUGGGCGAAAGCCUGAUGCAGCCAUGCCGCGUGUAGGAAGAAGGCCUUCGGGUUGUAAAGUACUUUCAGCGGUGAGGAAGGGAGUAAAGUUAAUACCUUUGCUCAUUGACGUUACCCGCAGAAGAAGCACCGGCUAACUCCGUG
rnacentral:rRNA from 1 species